GGGAAAGGUGAAAAGAACCCCGGGAGGGGAGGGAAGUAGAACCUGAAACCCUGCACUUACAAGCUGUGGAAGCACAUUUCUUGUGUGACCGCGUACUUUUUGUAGAACGGGCCAACGAGUUACGUUAAGUAGCAAGGUUAAGCACUUAAGGUGCGGAGCCGUAGCGAAAGCGAGUUUUAACUGGGCGUUCAGUUACUUGACGUAGACCCGAAACCGGGCGACCUACCCAUGAGCAGGAUGAAGCGAAAGUAAAAUUUCGUGGAGGUCCGAACCCACGAGCGUUGAAAAGCUCGGGGAUGACUUGUGGGUAGCGGUGAAAUUCCAAUCGAGCCCGGAGAUAGCUGGUUCUCCCCGAAAUAGCUUUAGGGCUAGCCUCAAGGUGAGAGAUACGGAGGUAGAGCACUGAAUGUCCUAGGGGGUAUUGCACCUA
rnacentral:rRNA from 1 species